rnacentral:rRNA from 1 species
UACAGAGGGGGCAAGCGUUGUUCGGAAUUACUGGGCGUAAAGGGCGCGUAGGCGGCCUUCUAAGUCGAACGUGAAAUCCCUGGGCUCAACCCAGGAACUGCGUCCGAUACUGGAAGGCUUGAAUCCGGGAGAGGGAUGCGGAAUUCCAGGUGUAGCGGUGAAAUGCGUAGAUAUCUGGAGGAACACCGGUGGCGAAGGCGGCAUCCUGGACCAAUUCUGACGCUGAGGAGCGAAAGCCAGGGGAGCAAACGGG